AGGGUUUGAUUCUGGCUCAGAACGAACGCUGGCGGCAGGCCUAACACAUGCAAGUCGAGCGAGAAGCCACCUUCGGGUGGUGGGCAGCGGCGGACGGGUGAGUAACGCGUAGGGAUCUGCCCAGGAGUGGGGGACAACCACUGGAAACGGUGGCUAAUACCGCAUACGCCCACGAGAUAUGAUGUUUCGUGGGGAAAGAUUUAUCGCUCCUGGAUGUACCUGCGUCGGAUUAGCUUGUUGGUGAGGUAACGGCUUACCAAGGCUACGAUCCGUAGCUGGUUUGAGAGGAUGAUCAGCCACACUGGGACUGAGACACGGCCCAGACUCCUACGGGAGGCAGCAGUGGGGAAUAUUGCACAAUGGGCGAAAGCCUGAUGCAGCCAUGCCGCGUGAGUGAAGAAGGCCUUAGGGGNGUAAAGCUCUUUCAACGGUGAAGAUGAUGACGGUAGCCGAGAAGAAGCCCCGCACC
rnacentral:rRNA from 1 species